UUCUCUCUCUUUCUCUCUCUCUCAGGCUGCAUGUCCAAGACGACAACUUUUCACUGAAAUGUCCGAAACACGAGGCUUUGUAAAAUAGAGCACUACCCAGCCCCAGUGAGCAUCACCUAUGCAGUACGACAGACAGACAGAUAGGACAUCCCCCCACCCAAACCUGAUGAUGAUGAGUCAUGAUGAGACGUUAUGACGGACAGACGCAUCGGCCAAUGGGGAUGGCUGGGGAUCCUCUGAGGCACCACCGAUGGCAGCAAUACAGACACUAGACAGCAGAUCCCUCAGAGCAACCCCCGUAACCCCUGGCAACGGCACUGCUUUAUCUCAGCCACCCCUGAUAACCAGACAGAGAGAGAGACUGCAUUGUCUGUCUGAUAGACAGUCUCCUUCACGGACAGACGGACUGCGGUGUUUUGAGAGAGUCUUUCACAGCCCUGUCUGUCUGUGUCUGGAGUCUAGACACCUGGCAGCCAUGGUUACUUAGAGACCACCCCUCCAGAGAGAGUGGGGGAGAGAGAAGGGGCGAGACAGGGAGCUGUUUUAAAUUCACGCUGCACUGUUCUGCCUCUGGAACGGUCGCUAUCAUUUUUAGACACCUGGUGGAUUGCGAUUGGCCAGAAUAGGCCCCCUCCGGCUAUGCUGUCCGAGUUCCAGGUCGCGGUGUGUGUGUGACAUCAACUGUGUGUGUGUGCUUGUACAAGGAAGGGAACGAGCGUGUUCCAAUUCAAGAUGUCAUGCGUCAAAAGAAGCCGCCCCUCCCCUGGAUGUAUCUCGAUGUGCGCUUAAGUGUUAUAAAAAUUGUACAUUGCGUGCUUUAACAGAUUCUAAAUAUGAUUCUGAUAUUGACAGAAAGAAAAAAUGACGGUAUUUUAAUAUAACGCUCUUCUUCCGGUAUGUAUUUUGAUGUGCAUAUUACGGCUAUACGACACCAUUGAGUCAGCGUUGGUAUCUGUCCCGCUUUGUGUUCAAUUAAACAUUUUUAUAAAAAUCUAGGUUUCAAUAUUCACACUAGCGUACUACUUAGAAUGCAUGCCUUAUACAUUGCUUCAUUCUAAGUGGGCAGUGUGCUAAUUUGGAUAUUGGGGGGAGUCAAAACUCUGGGGGUCACCGAGUCGAAGUUCAGCCGUGUGCUCAUACAACAUGAUGUACAGUAGACGCCACAUCAUCACCAUAAAGGUUAAAGGUCAGGGCUUAGGGCCCGGCCCGCAUCAUCUCACACGUCAUGUCAUCUCAUCUCACCACAGUUCUUCAUCAAUAUCUCUGUCCAUCAUCUCCAUCACCAAAGGCUGCUGGCUCCAUAAAAAUGAACAAGGAUUCGACUCCAAUAGAUUCUUAGUCCUAUACGACUUGAGUUCUCAGUACCAUAGAGCUGAAUCAACCGUACAGAGACUCAAAUAUGUCAUAAUAUGGACACCGUACAGUAACACAGUCCUCCCCAUUAAAUGGGGAACCGUGACUGUUGUACGGUGUCCAUAUUCGGAAUGUUUCAGUUUUCUGACGCCACAUCAAGUGUGUCUCUCUCAUUCCUUUUUCUGUAUGUGGCACUCAGAGUAGCGUAGCCUGUUCCCCUUACUGCAGCAUUCUCACACACACAGACAGCCUCUUUAGGGUGUAGUGUACAGUACUUCRGUACUACUUUAGGGUGUAGUGUACAGUACUUCAGUACUACUUUAGGAUAUAGUGUACAGUACUUUAGUACUUCAUAUCAGUGGACACAUACAGUAUUAGGGCGUACAGUACAGACAAGAGCAAAGCAUCCCACCACAAACCUCUUCUUCUGAUUCUUGAUUAUGAUGCUCUCAUUAUUUAAUGGUGUAUAUAAGUAUUUGACGCGGUUUAAAUGUAAGAUGUGAUGUACUAAUAUAAUUGUGUAUAGUAUUUCCUAGAGAUGUUUAUUUUCUAUAAAAUGAAUAUGUUAUUGCUUAUAAAAAUGUUAUUAAAAGAAUCCAUUAAAAAAAAAGAGACUUUUGGGAAUGUCACUCGUUCUAAGUUGAGCAUGCAGUUUUUUUUAUUGUUCAUGUUUUCAUUGUUUGAAUCGAUGACACUACAGCAUCAAUUUGUGUGAAAUGUUUUUGUAACGCCAAUGUCAAAUAUACCAGCACCUUUCAAUGCUGCCCAGACCAAG